rnacentral:rRNA from 1 species
CAGUAGCAAACGAGGUAGUAACACGUAGGAAUCUCCCCCGGAGUCAGGGAUAACGUAUGGAAACGUACGCUAAUACUUGAUGGUGUCGCAAGACUAAAGAUUUAUCGCUCCGGGAAGAGCCUGCGCAGUAUCAGCUAGUUGGUAGUGUAAUGGACUACCAAGGCUAUGACGCUUAGGGGAGGUGAGAGCCUGACCCCCACCGAUGGGACUGAGACACGGCCCAUACACCUACGGGUGGCAGCAGCCGAGAAUAUUCCGCAAUGGGCGAAAGCCUGACGGAGCGACGCCGCGUGAUCGAAGAAGCCUUUCGGGGUGUAAAGAUCUUUCGGUGGAGACAAAAAAGGCGGAGCUAACAUCUCCGUCCCUGAUGGUAUCCAAAGAAGAAGCACCGGCUA